CUGACUUGGAAUAUCAACCAAUUAACAUUGAUAAAAGAUUUGGCAAGAAUAAUAUACAGAGGCUUGAAUUUUUAAUGUAAUUAAUGUAAUUAAAGGUUUGUUGGAAAUGUGAGACCAUUUUGUUCUCCCAGAGAAAAAGUGUGUUAAUUGUCUAGCUGGCAGGGAUCUACUUGAAUAUGUUUGCAGAGAAAAGCAGAAGAAAGCAUGGUUGCAGUAGGAGUAGUUAAAACAGAAAAAUAGUAUGCUUAUAGAGGAAAAAUUACCCUAAAUUUAUUAAAAAUUUAUUAAAAUUCCUUUAAAUUUGUUACUCAAUUUAAAUUUUUAUUGUAUCUUUUCAAUUUUGCUAUAGCACUAACAUGACAUAAGGCUCUGGGUAUUGGGACAAAAGAAUGCCCUUGUUUGGUAGUUGGGGUCAGGUUUGUAGUAGUGCAGUGUGCUUUAACAAGCAUGGGCUUUGACAUCACACAUUUGUUGCCAUCUGGACUCCACAAGUGAAUUUGCUAGGGGAUUUGGAGGAGGGAAGGGCACUGUUUCCAUACCUCAGUGGUUUUCUCAUCUGCAAAAUAGGUAUGGUGGUUGCAUGGAUUGACUCAUAUGAUGAAUAUAAAGUUGUUCAUUAGUACAGUACCUGUCAUAUUAAGUACUCAAUAAAUGUUAGCUAUUAUUAAUGCUGUGUUUUAGCUGUUCAGUAAAUAGUUGCCGUAAUGCUUAAAGCAGACAUAAGUUGUUUUUAUUUUAGCAAUAAAGAUGAUGCCAACUUUUUGGUUUAAUGGAAAUGCUUUGAAUCUUUGGUAUUAUUGUAAUAUAGUGGCAAAGAAGUUUGAAGCCCAGCUUCUGGAGCUCAUAUCUUGAUUCUGCCAGUUACUUCGCUAUGUUACUUUGAGGGAAGUUAUUAAUCUCUCUGUGCCUCAGUUUCCUCAGUCCACUAAAUUGAAAUUAUAAUAGCAACUACCUGAUAGGAUUGUUGAGACUCAAUGAUGUAACAAUUUAAAAAUAAGCUAAUACCUGAUAAUUAGUUCUAUAUAUGUAUUGUUUGGUCUAAACGUUAUUUCCGUGUUCAUGUCUUUACUUAAAAUACUGAAAAUUAAUUUUUUAUAGCUUUGUUUUUCAGUUCCAUGAAAUCAGCCUGCCUUUUCUUUUUUUCGUGAUGCAUCCACAUUCUGUAUAGGUAAAAAGCAAAACAAACAAGUAUAAAACGAAAAUUAUGUAAGAAGUACACACAUCCUAGCAGCUUGGCAAGUGUCUGUAUGCUCUUGCCUUUGCCUAAAUCCAGAAUUAGAAUUCAUGUUUGGUGCUCCUGUGGAAGAUGUCUAAAUGUUAUGAGAAAUGCAUGAUUAAAUAAAAAUGUGAAAUGAAAGCAUGGAGACUUGUUGAAGGGGUAUCCACCAUGAUUAUAUAUGAUGGGGAGGAAAGGGAUUACUCCAUUUCUGCCCCUGCAGUCUGUAGGCGUGAUUGAUUACAUCAUUGGUCGCCGGUGAUUAACUCAAUCUCCAAGCCGUGUCCUGUCCUUGGAGGUUGGAGGGUGGCACUGAAAGCUCCAACCCAUCUCAUCAUGCUUUGAUCUUUCCGAUGACCAGACCCCACCCUGAAGCUAUCUACGGGUCCCCAGCAACAUUCGUUUCAUUGUCAUACAAAUGACAUUCUUACAAUUUCAGAGAUUCCAAGGGCUUUAGGAAAUGGAGAUGAAGAGCAAAUAUAUAUUUCACAAUACCACAAACAUACCCUUGGGAAUUAGACCUCUGAUCUAAUCUAGGCUCCCUCACUUGCCAUUUUUGUGACCUUGAACAAGUUGUUCAUCUUUUCUGGAUAGUUCUCUAUUAAAAAAAAAAAAUUAAAAUAAAAAAAUGGUGGCUAUCAGGUUGUUAGGAGGACUAGAUAAGAGAACUAUGUGAAGGGCCCUGCACAGUGCUAGCAACAAAGUUGUUUAGUAAGUACUUUUUCAAUUUAUUUUGCUCCCAAGCUCAUGUGAGCUCCCUCAGUGUGUACCACCAAAUCAUAUGAUGUGUAUCCCAGUCAAAUCUUAAAGGUCAUCCACCUUGAAUCUUUAAGUUAAUUAACAUGUGUUUUUAAAACUGCAUUAUAAGAAUGUUAGGUUUUUUGUUUUGAUCCUAUGGAAGUUAAACUUUUUUAUGCAAGCAUUCAAAUGUUUAGCUUCAAACUGAACAGAUAAAUAGUCUGUAUUAUUUCAUUAUGUAUUAAAAAAUGAUUAAGCCUGCCUCAGGCAGUUCAGGCAAAGCAGGUAAAAGAUUAUCAAGGAGUAACAUUAGAAAACACUAAUCAGAGUGCCUAAAAAGCUUUAUGCUUUUUACUGUUGGAACAGUAAAACAAACAAAACAUUACAAGCUAUGAAGCGUUCAAGAUAGGUAGAACAGAGCAGGUUAUAUGAGAGAAGUCUCUUCUAAAAUUGUGUUGGCUAGUCUGGGAUUUGAACUUAUACCUUGUAUGUAUGUCCAUGUGUAACAGGUUGAACAUGCAAGAAGCAGUGUUCAUAAAAGGUGGCAAACUUGUUUUACUUGUUUCUCAGUCUUUUCAGAUCAGUGCUUAUAAAACACUGAUAUUUACAGUAAAUAUAUUAAAUAUUAGCUAACCCUAUUAAAUUGUGUGUCCUUGUGCUGCAGUCAUUUAAUGACCUCAUUCUUUGGUAAGUUGGCAUGUGAUUUGAGAUAGCUCUAAGUGCUAAUGGAUUGUUUGAAGGAGUUAAAGGCAAAACCAGGAAGAGAAAACUAUUUUUAGGAAAAAGUGAUCAUACAACAGGCCUUAAAUAGAAGAAAUGAGAUAUCUCUAUCUUUACUAUGUAACCUGUAACUAAUUCCUUACACAUUUUGACUUCAUAUUUUUUGUAUGUAAAUGAGAAUGUUAUAGUCUUGUAAAUUCCUUUUCGUCUGUGACUACAUUCAGUUAUUUAUUUUAUUGUGUGUUUGUGCAUGUCGGUAGAGCACAGUAUUUAGCAGAAUGAGUUCUUGGUUAAACCACCUGGAUUCAUUUGUAAAAUGGGGCCACCUAUCUCUUAAAUUGUAAUGAGGAUUUGAUUAGAUAAUCUAGAUAAAUCACUUAGCACAAGAGUCUCCAGCCCCCGGACUCUUGACCGGUACUGGUCUGUGGCCUGUUAGGCACUGGGCUGCACAGCAGGAGGUGAGCAGGGAGCAAGCUAGCACUAAGGCCCGAGCUCCGCUUCCUGUCGGAUCAGUGGCAGCAUUAGAUACUCAUAGGAGCACAAACCCUUUUGUGAACUGUGCAUGUGAGGGAUCUAGGUUUCAUGCUCCUUAUGAGAAUCUAAUUAAUGCCCGAUGAGCUGAGGUGGAACAGUUUCUUCCCAAACCCAUCUCACGAAACCCGUCCCUGGUGCCAAAAUUUUGGGGGACCUCUGACGUAGCGCACUAUCUGGCACAUACUAAGCACUCAGAAAAUAUCCCAUUUCUCAAAACUCAGUUCCAGUGUCAAGUCUUAAUAGUAUAUUGAUUUUGGAACUCCAAGGUAGUUGGUCCUCUCUUUGUGUCAUAAAUGUGCCUUGUACUCAGUAGUGCUAAAUUGCUAUCACUAGUGCUAAAUGUACUACUAAUUUAUCUGUGUGUCCACUUCGCUUCUUAGAUUGUGAGCCCCUUGAGGACAGAGAUGGGUUUACUCAUAUUUAUAAAUUCAUUGACAUGAUAAAUAUUUGCUGAAAGAAUAAAAUUGUAUUCUUAUUUUUAAGCAGGGUCCCUUCCACCUCUGAGUGGAAGAUAGUCUGGGAGCAAAGGUGACAGGUCUUCUAAAAAAUCUGGCCACAUUCUCAACCCACCCCAUCCCCGCUUUUUUAAACAGCUAUUUAAUUGCCGUUGUAAUCCUAAGGAUUAGAUCAAUUUUUCACUUCUCUUUUUCACACUUUUUUCCUUUUACUAAGAAAAUAAAGUAAUAAAGUGACUGCUAAAUGGAGAAAACUGUCCACUAAAUAUGAAUUAAUAAGUGCUAUGAUCAGAAAUUGUGUAAAAGCAACAUAAUGGCACUAUAAAAAGGUAUUAUCUUAGAAUCAAAAACCUUGGGUUUAUAGUAUAGCCCUGCUACUUUCUAGUCAUAUGACAGUGAUCGAGCUAUAGUACCUCUUUGGCUCGACAAAAUAGGGAUCAUCUCUAUUUCUGGCUUGUUAUGAUUGAUGUGAAAUAUUCAUACAAACUACCACUGUGCCUAGUAAGUAGAAGACACUCAAGUAUGUCUUGGAGUUACAGUUAAUACUGUAUCGUUUAAAUUUGAGAAAAACCAACUUUAAAAAAUCACAUAGAUACAGUUGUUUACUGCUAGAAAUUUUAUUUAAAUUAGUUGAUACUCUUCGUUAGGUAAUGAAAAACAAUGGUUUUAUCUCCAUUAUGCUGUGAUAGGGAAGAGUAACAGUUCAAAUGGCAAAGGCGUACCUGACAAUUAAGAUGCAUAGUUAAAGGCUAAUACUUCCUGAACACAAGAAGACAAGUCUCUACUUGAUACUACUCUCCAGUUAAAUCAUUGAUACUUUGUGCCAUAUAGUGAAAACAGAACCAUCUAGGUGUUCGCGGAUUGUAUUUUUCCUUAUGAAAGGUAGAAGGUUAGAGAAAAUUAUUCUCAGUACAAUUAAUACAAAUAAAAUUGGUUAUUAGGUGCCUUUUAAUUAGGCAGUAAGGGCAUAUGAAGCUUCAUUACCUAUGAGAAUUUUGUCAAAAUUAUUUCCCAGUUACGAUGUUUUAAAACAACCUCUCAAAAUUCCCCACUUUCUAAUUUCUCGUUUCUGUUCUACCAAUUUUACUCCAUACCUUUUUGCUAAAUAAACAUUUUCUUCCAACUCUGA